rnacentral:lncRNA from 1 species
UCAACUCUUUCUUUAGUACUCUUAAUUUGGUGGAAACAGACUCUAAUACCACUUGUUGAGGUUCGAGUACUUGAAAGAUAAUAAAUAAAAUAAAAAUUAUGCUAAUAAUAAUAAUAAAAACCCAAAAAAAUUACAGCAAUCGUAAGAACAUCAGAUUUAACGUGGUUCGAUUGAAGCCUACAUCUCUAUAGGGACGAGAGUAAGAAAGAGCUUCCACUAUAAUAUUAGUUUAGAGUAUAAAAAUUUUUUUUUGACACC